rnacentral:rRNA from 1 species
CCGCUNAGGAGUGUGUAACAACUCACCUGCCGAAGCAACUAGCCCUGAAAAUGGAUGGCGCUAAAGCUCCGUGCCUAUACCCGGCCGCCGGAAGGCAUAGGCGUGAGCCGCUCUUCUGGGGCGGCGAGCGCGCGAAGCCCCGGCGAGUAGGAGGGCGCGGCGGUGAGCGCGGAAGGGUCUGGGCGCGAGCCUGCCUGGAGCCGCCGCCGGUGCAGAUCUUGGUGGUAGUAGCAAAUACUCAAGCGAGGGCCUUGAGGGCUGAUGUGGAGAAGGGUUUCGUGUGAACAGCCGUUGCACACGAGUCAGUCGAUCCUAAGCCCUAGGAGAAAUCCGAUGUCGAUGCGGGGGGUUUCAUUUGCUGUGCUCCCCCUCGAUGGGCGAAAGGGAAUCCGGUUCCUAUUCCGGAACCCGGCAGCGGAACCGAAUCUACGGGCCCUCGUCAGAGAAGCUCGUCGGGGUAACCCAAAGGGACCCGGAGACGCCGUCGGGAGACCCGGGCAGAGUUUUCUGUUCUGCAUAAGCGUUCGAGUUCCCUGGAAUCCUCUAGCAGGGAGAUAGGGUUUGGAACGCGAAGAGCACCGCAGUUGCGGCGGUGUCCGGGUCGUCCCCUCGGACCUUGAAAAUCCGGGAGAGGGUCACGCGGAGGUGUCGCGCCGGCUCGUACCCAUAUCCGCAGCAGGUCUCCAAG